rnacentral:rRNA from 1 species
AGGGGCGUCGUACCGUGACCUGCGGAGGGAUCAUUACACAAAUAUGAAGGCGGGCUGGAACCUCUCGGGGUUACAGCCUUGCUGAAUUAUUCACCCUUGUCUUUUGCGUACUUCUUGUUUCCUUGGUGGGUUCGCCCACCACUAGGACAAACAUAAACCUUUUGUAAUUGCAAUCAGCGUCAGUAACAAAUUAAUAAUUACAACUUUCAACAACGGAUCUCUUGGUUCUGGCAUCGAUGAAGAACGCAGCGAAAUGCGAUAAGUAGUGUGAAUUGCAGAAUUCAGUGAAUCAUCGAAUCUUUGAACGCACAUUGCGCCCUUUGGUAUUCCAAAGGGCAUGCCUGUUCGAGCGUCAUUUGUACCCUCAAGCUUUGCUUGGUGUUGGGCGUCUUGUCUCUAGCUUUGCUGGAGACUCGCCUUAAAGUAAUUGGCAGCCGGCCUACUGGUUUCGGAGCGCAGCACAAGUCGCACUCUCUAUCAGCAAAGGUCUAGCAUCCAUUAAGCCUUUUUUUCAACUUUUGACCUCGGAUCAGGUAGGGAUACCCGCUGAACUUAA